rnacentral:rRNA from 1 species
GUGGGGAAUAUUGGACAAUGGGCGAAAGCCUGAUCCAGCCAUGCCGCGUGUGUGAAGAAGGUCUUCGGAUUGUAAAGCACUUUAAGUUGGGAGGAAGGGCAGUAAGUUAAUACCUUGCUGUUUUGACGUUUCCAACAGAAUAAGCACCGGCUAACUUCGUGCCAGCAGCCGCGGUAAUACGAAGGGUGCAAGCGUUAAUCGGAAUUACUGGGCGUAAAGCGCGCGUAGGUGGUUCAGCAAGUUGAAGGUGAAAUCCCCGGGCUCAACCUGGGAACUGCCUCCAAAACUACUGAGCUAGAGUACGGUAGAGGGUAGUGGAAUUUCCUGUGUAGCGGUGAAAUGCGUAGAUAUAGGAAGGAACACCAGUGGCGAAGGCGACUACCUGGACUGAUACUGACACUGAGGUGCGAAAGCGUGGGGAGCAAACAGGAUUAGAUACCCGAGUAGUCC